rnacentral:rRNA from 1 species
AAUUUUGGAUCAUGGGGGCAACCCUGAUCCAGCCAUCCCGCGUGUGCGAUGUAGGCCGNCGGGUUNUNAAGCACUCUUGGCUGGGNGGCAAAGCCGCGGGUUAAUACCCUGCGUUGCUGUCGGUACUUGAUGAGGAAUCCCGGGCCUACUACGUGCCAGCAGUCGCGGUAGUACGUAGGGGGCGAGCGUUGUCUGGAAUCAUUGGGCGUAAAGGGUGCGUAGGCGGCCUUUUAGGUGAGGUGUGAAAGACCACAGCUUAACGGUGGGGUUGCAUUUGAAAAUGGAAGGCUUGAGUAUCAGAGAGGGUGGUGGAAUACCCGGUGUAGCGGUGAAAUGCGUAGAAAUCGGGAGGAACACCAGUGGCGAAGACGACUACCUGGACGAUAACUGACGCUGAGGCACGAAAGCUAGGGUAGCAAAC